rnacentral:rRNA from 1 species
AUUGAACGCUGGCGGCAGGCCUAACACAUGCACGUCGAGCGGAGCGGCGGACGGGUGAGUAAUGCCUAGGAAUCUGCCUGGUAGUGGGGGAUAACGUCCGGAAACGGGCGCUAAUACCGCAUACUAUCAUAUGGGCCUAGGUCGGAUUCGCUAGUUGGUGGGGUAAAGGCCUACCAAGGCGACGAUCCGUAACUGGUCUGAGAGUAUGAUCAGUCACACUGGAACUAGUACACGGUCCAGACUCCUACGGGAUGCAGCGUUGGGGAAUAUUGGACAUGGGGCGAAAGCCUGAUCCAGCCAUGCCGCGUGUGUGAAGAAGGUCUUCGUAUUGUAAAGCACUUUAAGUUGGGAGGCGUUACCAACAGAAUAAGCACCGGCUAACUUCGUGCCAGCAGCCGCGGUAAUUC